rnacentral:tRNA from 3 species
GGCUACGUAGCUCAGUUGGUUAGAGCACAUCACUCAUAAUGAUGGGGUCACAGGUUCAAAU